CCUAAUUUUUGGACCAAGGUGCUCCUUUCCUAAAUGAAAGACACUCGAGUUCAUCCUUCUGUAGUCUGUUCCCUCAUUAAAAUUCAAAGUGCAUUUCUCUGUUCCCUGGCUUAAUCACAUACUUUUUAGCAGUGCUUUUGUUCAGUGUUUGAAUAGAUGUUGAAACCAAAGUGGUGAAGUAAACUUCCUGAAGACAGCAUGUCUCGAUGAGCACCUAGCCUUGCAGAAAAUUUAGGGAUAAUGAACUACUUUUAACUAUUACAACUGGUUUUAAUGAAUCCUUCUUGUCAAACACAAUGACCAGAGAAGAAAAUUACAACGAAGAUUUUACA